UACGUAGGUGGCAAGCGUUGUUCGGAAUCACUGGGCAUAAAGCGCGCGUAGGCGGCUAUGUAAGUCGGGUGUGAAAGCCCUCGGCUCAACCGAGGAACUGCGCUCGAUACUGCAUGGCUUGAGGUCUGGAGGGGAGAGUGGAAUUCCCGGUGGAGCGGUGAAAUGCGUAGAGAUGUGGAGGAACACCAAUGGCGAAGGCAGCCUUCUGGGCCAACACUGACGCUCAUGCACGAAAGCGUGGGGAGCAAACAGG
rnacentral:rRNA from 1 species